rnacentral:rRNA from 1 species
GACGAACGCUGGCGGCGUGCUUAACACAUGCAAGUCGAACGGAGCUAUUUAUUUCGGUAGAUAGCUUAGUGGCAAACGGGUGAGUAACGCGUAGGCAACCUGCCCUCAGGAUGGGGACAACGGCUCGAAAGAGCCGCUAAUACCGAAUGACGUAACUCUUCCACAUGGAAGAGAUACUAAAGAUGGGUCAAACCAUCGCCUAAGGAUGGGCCUGCGUCUGAUUAGCCAGUUGGUGAGGUAACGGCUCACCAAAGCGACGAUCAGUAGCCGGUCUGAGAGGAUGAACGGCCACAAUGGGACUGAGACACGGCCCAUACUCCUACGGGAGGCAGCAGUGGGGAAUCUUCCGCAAUGGGCGAAAGCCUGACGGAGCAACGCCGCGUGAGUGAAGAAGGUCUUCGGAUCGUAAAGCUCUGUUGUCGGGGACGAAAGAGUAGACGAGGAAAUGCGUUUACUAAGGCG